UGCUCAGCGAUAUCAUCUACUGGUGCAUGACUCACAAGUCAAGACCAAUAACACUGGAUAACAUAAAGCAACGCACCAAAAUUUAAGAACAUGUGGUUAAUAGUGUACCAGAAGAGCACCACACAACUUUAACAAUUUUCGUCGCAAACUGAGGGUACCACAACUUGUUAUCGUUUCUUUCACUCUCAGAUAAAAUGGGAGGUGAGAGUGUGCAAAGCAUCCUGAGAUAAUUUACCCCAUCAAUAUAGAAUAUUGCUAAGAGUCAAAACAUAAUUCAACAAUUCAAAUUGUGCAAUGUAC
rnacentral:lncRNA from 1 species